rnacentral:rRNA from 1 species
CAGCCGCCGCGGUAAUACGAAGGGUGCAAGCAUUAAUCGGAAUUACUGGGCGUAAAGCGUGCGUAGGCGGUUUGUUAAGUCUGUUGUGAAAUCCCCGGGCUCAACCUGGGAAUGGCAAUGGAUACUGGCAAGCUAGAGUGUGUCAGAGGAUGGUGGAAUUCCCGGUGUAGCGGUGAAAUGCGUAGAGAUCGGGAGGAGCAUCAGUGGCGAAGGCGGCCAUCUGGGACAACACUGACGCUGAGGCACGAAAGCGUGGGGAGCAAACAGGAUUAGAUACCCCCGUAGUCCCUGUCUCUUAUAA